CAGGACUCCGUGAUGUGUGAACGCCUUCGAUGGGCCUAACCAUCACACCUUAAACUAUGGUCUUCCGAUUUUGAAAUGUAUUGAAGCAUACUAAAAACUACAAAUGGAUUUUCUGUGGGGGAAAUAAUCAUCUAUGAAAUGACUGUAGAAGGAGAAACGUGGAACACGGAAAAGCCCUUUGUGACAUCACUGCACUCUGACACUCCCAUAUGGUGACGUUUGAAUCGCCUUUCUAAAGGUCACAUAAGGAGAAGACUCCAAAACCACACAGGUGCUUGGGACUUUGAAACGGAAAACUUCUGGCAAACACAAGCCUGUCUGUGGGUGUGGCCUGAAAGCAGAUAUAAAAAUACCUUGCUGGGAGAUAAUUCUCCAUAGACCUGGUGUUUCUGCAUAUCUUCUAAGUAUUGAGAGCUGUGUUCAAGAACGUUCUCACAACAGGCAGCCUUGGGAAGGUGAAAAUAGUCUCUCUCUAGAGACAUCGCUGCGGGCAGACAUUCCAGGGCAACGAAGCCAGACAUAUCGGCUGCCCUCCCCGGAGAAGCCUUGACGGUAAAGGAGACGUGUCUCUCUGGAGGCGGGAGGGGCCGGGGCGGAGGCAGCCCCCCCCAAGGUCAGGGUCUCCUCAUCACAACUUUCUCGGCUACGGCACGGCAUACCCACCUGAACUGCUUCUGCUUCCCCCUGGGGGCCCUGGGAGGGGGGAAGAGGAACCGCUGUGGACACGGAGCUCAUGUGGUCCACGUGGCCGCGAGGCCCUUUGUUUCCUGAUCAGCCACGUGUGCGGAGGUGAGACUCGCAACGUAGCGGCCGCCUGCUCGGAGGGGCUGCCUGACCCCCGGGCAUGUCCCCAAUUCAUCUCAAAAGAAAGAGGUCAUAAAUAUUUGAACAGAAAUUCCCGCAACUUUCUCAUUUAGCUGUGGACUAAAAUGUUCAGGUGCUUAUAAAAGUCAGAAAACACCUUAUUUUGCAAUAAGACACAUGAUCAUAGGUGCCUACUGCCUGUUUUCAUCUCUAACGACCAUAGAAAAUGUAAUUAUCCCCAGCACUUCCUUGAAACCAGACUGCGAAGUGCAUUUUGAGAACCUGCUGUGUUUUGACUGGUCCCGGACCAUCUCACCGUCUGAAUAAAAGGAGAGGCGUCGGGUGGGAGGCCCGAAAGUGUUCUGGACGGAGCGGUGUGGUCACUGGCAGCCCGCUGCCGGAUUGAUCGAUGCCGUCGCCACGGGCGUGGCCGGGUCACCUUCGUCAGGUCGCUACCCCCGAGAGCGUCACAUUCAACUGUCAUUGCAGUUUACCAACCUUCGGCCUCAAGACGUCCACCCUCCUUGUGACCUCCUCCACCAUUUCUAGGCAGAGACAGAGCCCAAGCAGGGAAGGGACAGAGAGAGAGAGGGAGACACAGAAUCCGAAGCAGGCUCCAGACUCUGACCCGUCAGCACAGAGCCAGACGUGGGGCUCGAACUCACGAACCACGAGAUCGUGACCUGAGUUGAAGUCGAACGCUUAACCAACUGAGCCCCCCAGUGUUUUUGGUCAGGUCUGCUCCAGGGGUGACCCGUGGCUGCUCAGCCAGACCGGCCUCAGGCGGGCAGAAGUCUCGAAUUGCCUAACAGGGGCUAUUGUGUCAGCUAGAUAUCGAGUGCGCGUGGGAACAUCAGCGAAUCCAAAAGCGAUGGUUUCAAGAAGCUAAUGCAAUUGAUUACAUUAGUCUGAUUUCAUCCAUCAUCAUCUGAUGAUUGCGAAGGGGAUUGCUGGAGGUUGGUCCAGGGGCCCGCGAACGCCGGGGUUGAGUUUCCUGCACUUUUCCCGGUCUUUCCUCCUUGGGCAUCUAUGGUUACAGCCACAGGGAGCAUUGAACCUGCUUCCAGACACGAAGAAGGAGAACAGACAGGGCAGAAAGAAUCACCAGUUGAGUCACGAGCCUGAGUGUUUUUAACGGGAUUUCUCAGAGGCCCCAGCCGAUGACUCACUCCCAGGUGACUGGCGAGAACUGUGACAGGACCAUUUCUAGAGGACUUUCUGUCGGUAGGUUUGUUUUACGGCGGACACAUGGCCACCCAAAUAAAAUCAGUCUUCCGUUAGUUAAGAAGGAGGAAAGAAGGGAUAUGGAGAAGAGAAACCACCGUCUCUGACACGGGUAUGAAUAAAUAAACAAGCCCGGCUUUCCUCGUGCCAUCUCAAUGCUUCAUAAUAAAAAAUUUAGCAUUUACAUAGCACUUUAAACCUUUUCAAGUGAUUUCAUAUCUGUUUCCAUAGUUUUAUAUUAGUUUGCUACAUUUUUCUACUAAAUCACUGGGAGUAUUUGUCACUUCCUAUAAGAACCGGCAUUUUCAUUCCAAUGAUUAAUGAUGUGGUUUUAUGUAUUUCUCCUUGUUAUUCAUAUAAUUUCUUUAACCCAAUUUCCUUCUGAUAGUUUUUCCAUUGCUAGGCUAGAUAUUAAUUUGACAAAAUUUGCUAAAGCCUCUUACCAACGCCAUAGAUCCCAUUAGGAAGUCAUUAUUCAAGAUACAAAACAGAAUGCAUCGUACAGAGCUUUUAACAGAGUCGGUAAGCCGGAGGUGAUGGCUGGGGGUUUUUGCUCUAAAUGGGGGGCGGGCCGCGAUUACCUUGGCUGCCCACCACUUCGGGCAAGUGCCAGCACAAUUUAUCGCCAGGUAGAGAAGUACCUGUCACGGAAAAUGGGCACCAAGUGAAAAAGGCAGGAGGGCACCCUUUUCCUUGAUUUCUUUGGAACGAAGCCCUCGAGGCGGUAUCGACGUGUGUUUCUAUUUCUUUCUCCCUGUCCUCUUGUCUCCCGCGCUUCUAACAGAACCGUCAGCAGGUGACGACUGCGGGAGAGACGUGAACACCGAUCAGGCAGUUCCACCGCGUGUCGUAGCUCUCACCCUCCCUGGGCGCGCCUCCCGGCGCGCUGUCCCCGUACUGUCCCCAUGGCUCGUCUGUGCAGGGGCUGUGCGUCCCCAGUUCGUGUGCCAUAGGUGACCUUCUUCAGAGGAGACGGCCACGGCAGACGCAUCACCAGUGCCUGCCACUCCCACGACCUAAGUCCACGCUUCUCUCAACCUUAGACUCCCUUUCCAAGUCUGAAAUACAACCGGUUGUUGCAGUUCUGUUGCAUUUUUAUGGCCUCUUUUACGUAAAACGACUGGAGUUUUGAUCCCCUACUUUCCUUGCAGCUCCACUUUGCGUGCGUUUUCCUCCCUCGGAAAUGCUGCCUCGAAGAUAAUUCUUGUUUCCAUUAGAAACAACACACGUGAAACUGCAGGGUUGGUCUACUUCCAAUGACUGGUCUCGUUCCUUCCCUUGGGAACGAGGCCCCAGCUGGGAGUCUUGCCCGCCUUUGCUGCACCAGCCUGGGAGACACAGAAACGAAGAACUCUUCCCAGUGCAAUGGAACCAGCAGUCCUAGAGCAAAGCUGCAGAUCUUGUCUAUUCUACGACCUUAGACUCAGUGCACGUGACUUGGCUUUUCUUCCUCCCCACCCCCACCCCCCGUCUCAAGCAGACA